GGCGUAAAGCGGGUGCAAGUGGUGCACUAAGUCAUAUGUGAAAGCCCUGGGCUUAACCUAGGAACAGCAUAUGAUACUGGUGAACUAGAGUAUAUGAGAGGGAAGUAGAAUUCCAGGUGUAGCGGUGAAAUGCGUAGAGAUCUGGAGGAAUACCGAUGGCGAAGGCAGCUUUCUGGCACAAUACUGACACUCAGACCCGAAAGCGUGGGUAGCAAACAGGAUUAGAUACCCUGGUAGUCCACGCCGUAAACGAUGUCUACUAGCCGUUGGAGCUCAUGAAGCUUUAGUGGCGCAGCUAACGCGAUAAGUAGACCGCCUGGGGAGUACGGCCGCAAGGUUAAAACUCAAAUGAAUUGACGGGGGCCCGCACAAGCGGUGGAGCAUGUGGUUUAAUUCGAUGCAACGCGAAGAACCUUACCUGGUCUUGACAUAGUGAGGAUCCUACAGAGAUGUGGGAGUGCCUUAGGGAACUCACAUACGGGCGCUGCAUGGCUGUCGUCAGCUCGUGUCGUGAGAUGUUGGGUUAAGUCCCGCAAACGAGCGCAACCCUUAUCCUUACUUGCUAGC
rnacentral:rRNA from 1 species